rnacentral:lncRNA from 1 species
CGGGAGGCCGCGGCCGGGCCAGCGCAGCGGAGCGAGGGAGGCUCCAGAGCCCGGGUUUCCACGGACCUGGACUCCAGCCAUCUCGUCCUGCACCGCACGGAACCGCGCAAAAGACGACCACGUGAAUGCCAGAUGGGCUCAGCUGAGUCAGUAGGGAAGGCUUUGCUUCGGGGACUCUGGAGUAUCCGAGAGGAGACAGAUUCCUCCCCAGGGAAAGGUCAGGGAGAAGGUCACGGCUUCCGAGGGCGGUGCAUUUGCCAGAACGCAAACCCGUCGUUUCAGAUAGAUUUUCACUUAGAAAAGUGACCUUCACGGUGGAAGCUGGCAAAGCCUGAGAGGGAAAGGUCACCUCCACCUGUCUUCCUUCAGGGUAAACAGGAUACGUUUCCUUCUCUCUGUUGCAAAUAUUAAUUUUGUCUCACUCUCACGGCGUUUGCUAUUAUUGCAUCUUUCAUUGUCUUCUAAAAUGUUUAUCCUCGUUGACACGGCAGUUCGUUUUGAAGUUCAUUGUCCCUGAGCAGCCUUCUCUAAGAGCUGUCCCAGCAUCAGCAGAAUGAGCACCAUGAGUCGAUGUGGAAUCCACAAGAUUGGAGUGGGUGGCAGGGAGGGUGUCCAGCUGUCUGUCCUAACAAGGUGGUUCUGAGUCUUGAGACCCACUCUUCUAGGGAACAGUCUUAACCAAAGGAAAACAUGUACUCCCCCG